rnacentral:rRNA from 1 species
CCCUUAGAUGUUCUGGGCCGCACGCACGCUACACUGAUGCAUUCAACGAGUCUAAAACCUGCUCUGAUAGGGGAGGGUAAUCUUUUGAAUGUGCAUCGUGAUUGGGAUAGAUGAUUGCAAUUUUUCAUCUUCAACGAGGAAUGCCUAGUAAACGCAAGUCAUCAGCUUGCAUUGAUUACGUCCCUGCCCUUUGUACACACCGCCCGUCGCUCCUACCGAUUGAAUGAUCCGAUGAAUAUCUUGGAUUGAGGAUGCAAGUAGGUUCGCCUAUCUUCAUCUUCGAGAAGUGAAGUAAAUCUUAUCAUUUAGAGGAAGGAGAAGUCGUAACA